rnacentral:rRNA from 1 species
AGUGAACGCUGGCGGUAGGCCUAACACAUGCAAGUCGAACGGCAGCACAGUAAGAGCUUGCUCUUACGGGUGGCGAGUGGCGUACGUGUGAGGAAUACAUCGGAAUCUACUUUUUCGUGGGGGAUAACGUAGGGAAACUUACGCUAAUACCGCAUACGACCUACGGGUGAAAGCAGGGGAUCUUCGGACCUUGCGCGAUUGAAUGAGCCGAUGUCGGAUUAGCUAGUUGGCGGGGUAAAUGCCCACCAGGGGGACGAUCCGUAGCCGGUCUGAGAGGCUGGUCAGCCACACUGGAAGUUAGCCACGGUCCAGACUCCUACGGGAGGCAGCAGUGGGGAAUAUUGGACAAUGGGCGCAAGCCUGAUCCAGCCAUACCGAGUGGGUGAAGAAGGCCUUCGGGUUGUAAAGCCCUUUUGUUGGGAAAGAAAAGCAGCAGGUUAAUACCCCGCUGUUCUGACGGUACCCAAAGAAUAAGCACCGGCUAACUUCGUG